UACCCCUCCUGCCGCGCCGCGCGCUCGCGGACAGUCGGCGCGCGGGCCGGGCCCCGCCGGCGCCCCUCAGCUUCGCGCGCCUGUGGUGUUGCCCCGGGCUCCGGGGGAUGCCCCCGGCCGAGCACUUCUCAUGGCCGCCGACGUCUUCAUGUGCUCCCCGCGCCGGCCCCGCAGCCGGGGCCGCCAGGUGCUGCUCAAGCCCCAGGUGCCUGAGGACGACGACGACUCGGACACGGAUGAGCCGUCCCCGCCGCCCGCCUCCGGCGCGGCCACCCCGGCCCGGGCCCACGCGAGCGCCGCGCCACCGCCGCCUCGGGCCGGGCCGGGCCGCGAGGAGCCUCCGCGCCGCCAGCAGAUCAUCCACAGCGGCCACUUCAUGGUGUCGUCGCCGCACCGGGAGCACCCGCCCAAGAAGGGCUACGAUUUCGACACGGUCAACAAACAGACGUGCCAGACCUACAGCUUCGGCAAGACCAGCUCCUGCCACCUGUCCAUCGACGCCUCGCUCACCAAGCUCUUCGAGUGCAUGACUUUGGCCUACAGUGGGAAGUUGGUGUCUCCAAAGUGGAAGAAUUUCAAGGGCCUGAAGCUACAGUGGAGAGACAAGAUCCGGCUCAAUAAUGCCAUCUGGCGGGCCUGGUACAUGCAGUAUCUGGAGAAGCGCAAGAAUCCUGUGUGCCACUUUGUGACGCCCCUAGACGGCUCUGUGGACGUAGAUGAGCACCGCCGGCCGGAGGCCAUCACCACGGAAGGGAAGUACUGGAAGAGCCGCAUCGAGAUUGUGAUCCGGGAGUAUCACAAGUGGAGAACCUACUUCAAGAAAAGGCUACAGCAGCACAAGGAUGAGGACCUCUCCAGCCUGGUCCAGGACGAUGACAUGCUAUAUUGGCACAAGCACGGGGAUGGAUGGAAGACCCCCGUCCCCAUGGAGGAGGACCCCCUGCUGGACACAGACAUGCUCAUGUCGGAAUUCAGCGACACCCUCUUCUCCACGCUUUCUUCACACCAGCCGGUGGCCUGGCCCAAUCCCCGGGAAAUAGCACAUCUGGGAAAUGCAGACAUGAUCCAGCCGGGACUGAUUCCUUUGCAGCCUAACCUGGACUUCAUGGACACCUUCGAGCCUUUCCAGGACCUCUUCUCUUCUAGCCGCUCCAUUUUUGGCUCCAUGCUACCUGCAUCUGCCUCAGCACCUGUACCAGAUCCCAACAACCCACCUGCACAGGAGAGCGUCCUGCAGACCACCGCCCUCCCCACUGUGAGCCUGCCUGACAGCCUCAUCGCGCCCCCCACCGCCCCGCCCCUGGCUCACGUGGACGGGCAGAGCUGUGAACACACCUCCCGGGCUGAGGACCCGUUUAUCCAGCCCACGGACUUCGGUCCCUCAGAGCCACCACUGAGUGUCCCACAGCCCUUCCUCCCCGUCUUCACCAUGCCCCUGCUGUCUCCCAGCCCCGCUCCACCACCUGUCUCCCCCGUGUUACCGUUAGUUCCUCCUCCUGCCACUGCCCUGAACCCCCCAGCUCCACCCACCUUCCACCAGCCACAGAAGUUUGCUGGAGUGAGCAAAGUGCCGUCUGUCAUCACCCACACGGCCUCCGCCACCCUCACCCAUGACGCCUCUGCCACCACCUUCAGCCAGAGUCAGGGCCUUGUGAUCACCACCCAUCACCCUGCCCCAUCAGCGGCCCCCUGUGGACUGGCACUGUCUCCUGUCCCCCGGCCUCCUCAGCCACGGUUAACUUUUGUGCACCCCAAACCUGUAUCCUUGACUGGGGGCAGGCCUAAGCAGCCCCACAAAAUAGUGCCUGCUCCCAAACCAGAGCCCGUGUCCUUGGUGUUGAAGAACACCUGCAUCGCCCCAGCUGCCUUUUCAGGACAACCACAAGCGGUGAUCAUGACGUCAGGGCCUCUGAAGAGAGAAGGGAUGUUGGCCUCCACGGUGUCCCAGUCCAACGUGGUCAUCGCACCUGCUGCCAUCGCCAGGGCUCCUGGGGUCCCGGAGUUCCACAGCAGCAUCCUGGUGACAGAUCUCGGCCAUGGCACGAACAGCCCGCCUGCCCCCAUCUCCCGGCUCUUCCCGAGCACAGCGCAAGACCCCCUGGGGAAGGGCGAGCAGGUCCAGCUGCAUGGGGGCAGCCCCCAGGUCACUGUCACAGGGCCCAGUCGGGACUGCCCAAACUCAGGGCAGGCCUCUCCAUGUGCAUCGGAGCAGAGCCCCAGUCCUCAGUCUCCCCAGAACAACUGCUCAGGGAAAUCCGACCCCAAAAAUGUGGCUGCACUAAAGAACCGGCAGAUGAAGCACAUCUCAGCUGAGCAGAAAAGGCGCUUCAACAUCAAGAUGUGCUUCGACAUGCUCAACAGCCUCAUCUCCAACAAUUCCAAGCUGCUCCUGCCAGCAGCUGCUCCCUGCCACGGGAGUCCCCGUCACCCGGCGCCAGUUUGAUCACAUGAGAGACAUGUUUGACGAAUACGUGAAAAGCCGGACCUUGCAGAAUUGGAAGUUCUGGAUUUUCAGCAUAAUUAUCAAGCCGCUGUUUGAGUCAUUCAAGGGCAUGGUGUCCACCAGCAGCCUGGAGGAGCUGCACCGGACGGCGCUGUCCUGGCUGGACCAGCACUGCUCCCUGCCCAUCCUCAGGCCAAUGGUGUUGAACACGCUGCGGCAGCUGAGCACCUCCACCUCCAUCCUCACAGACCCGGCACAGCUGCCGGAGCAGGCAUCCAAGGCCGUCACCAGGAUCGGCAAAAGACUGGGAGAGUCCUAGCUGCUUAGCUGGCAUGCAGCCGCAUGAGAUGCCAGGAGACCCUUCCCUGCUCAUGGAGAGUGGGCUGCGCCCCCCCAGCCCUUCCUGACGCUCAGCCUUGGGGCCUCUCUCCAACUCUGCUGGCCCACCGUGGCGUCGGGAGGCCAUGCUCAGGUCUGAAGCAGGUUUGGGGCCUGCUGACAGCAAUAGCCCGCCUUCGGGAACCCCUUGCUGUGAACUCUCUCACUCAGUGACCUCAGUCACCAACCUCUUCUGCCCUUGGGGCAGCCCAGACAAAAGGGAAGUGCUGGCCGUGCUGGUCCUGCCCUGCUGGUGGCCUGCCAGGCCUGGCGCCAGUGAGCAGAAGUGAUGGGAUGAGGGUGACAGGGCCUGCUCCUGUCCUGAGGCCCAGCCUUGUCCCUCCUGCCACGUCCUGUCUACAUGCAUGCCUCUGCCUGAUGCCCUGCUCCACUCUCUGGCCUGCCCGUGGGGCAGUCGGAAGGCAUCUUUCUUUCUCCCCUCAACUCUUGACAAUGCCUGGCCCUCGUGGAUGGACUUGGGCUUCUAUUCAGGCUUAUGCAUGGCAGGCUGCCAGGAGGAAGUGCCUUCUUCAGAGAGCCUCCAGGACACAUAUGUGCAGAAACGGUGGAUGUGGGACACACAGGACCAGAAUGGAAGUGUGUGAUGCACGGUGGCUGCUCUGGCUGAGAGGCCCUGCUGGGUGUGUUUCAUCAGUCCCCUUUUAGCUCCACCUGACGUUGCAGGAUCCACAGGGACUCAGCUUAGGACUUUCUCGAAUGUCACCUCACCACCAUGGCCCUUCUGCCAUUCUUCUCUACUUGUCUCCAGCUGCAGCUGUUGACAGGUCAAGCGUGUCCAGUGGGAGCUUAGAACCCUGAAGUUCUAGUGUCCGAAAGAUCAGACUCCAUAUCCUGCUGUCAGCCUUGUCAUCUUGUCUGAUGUCUUUCAGCUGGGUUCCCCAAACCAGGACAGUUCUCAGACCAAGGAUGCCCCCACACUCAAAAGUCUGUCCUGUCUUGUGUUUGGAGAAGGAAACAAUGUUGGCGGGCAGCACUCUGCGGCGGUCAGCCCUCAGAGCUGUCUCUAGGCAUCUCUCAGAUCAGACAGCAAAGAAUCUACCCAGAUCAGGGCUGGGUGGAGGCAUGGCUGGGCUGGGGGCCAUUUUGAGCCUGCAGCGGGAGGUUGGCCCAGCCUCAGUCCUUGCCCUUUUCCGGCUACCUCUGCAGGGAGCUGCAGGGGCAGGCACUCUCUCCAGCACUCAGGAAGCCCGGCUGAGGGUACCUCCUCGUGGAAAGAACGCACUUUAAAGCUCUGCUGAGGGGUUCGGAGCCCAGGCUUUCAGGCGACUUCUGCCCUCUCUGCCUCUCUUCACCCUCCCUCUCUGCCUGCAGGGCCUGGGAAGGGCUUUGAGGGAGCCUGAGAGUCGUGUGAAGAGGGGCACCCCGGGCUGUCCCCGAAGUUUAGAUCCAGUUGGAGGUUCUCCCUGGCUCCUGCAGGCCUGCAGGGGUCUCUCCCCAGUUCAGGCCUCCGGCCAACUGCCUGCCCCCUUAUCUGUGCUUCAGCCUUGCACAAAAGCAGCUUGGUGACACCACUCAGCCACUCAGAGCAUGUGUUUACAGGCUUUCCAGAUCACCUUCCUUUGGGGUGAACAUAAGAUGAGGCUGGGCUGGUCCUUGGAAUUUCCCCUGGGAAAUGGUAACAGACUCCAUCCUUGACCCGGGGAUAAGCAUGAAGGCAAUGUCCCAAAGGCAGAGGCCACGGUGGUAGGAAUUCCACCAAGGCCAGAAGGGAAAAAGGAAGAGGCCACCGUGUCCAGCUGUGUGGGCCCUGGGGAGGGUCGUGAGUGCAGCCCUUCUCCACUUCCGUGCCUUUGUAAAAUGUGUAGAUAACCGCAGUGGUUGGCUGAGCCAAGAACUCUCCUAAGUCAGUGGCUUUCUCCCCACCCCUUGCUGGGGAUUCAUUCUUUUUAAACUCUGUGGGAUAUAAAAUUGGCCUCCUGCUGCUUCGGCCUACCUCUCCCUCUGCUGACUUAAUGUCAUGAUUCUGUUUCUUCAGGUAUUUAAGGCUGUUAGGUUGUGUGAGCCUUGAAGGGGGUGUGUGUGUGUGUGUGUGUGUGUGUGUGUGUCCCAGCAACUGUCCACUGUCCAGGAGAUGCAUGUCUUUGUAUUGGAGAUAUUUCUGUAACUCAUUCUCUUGGUGCUCACGAUUGCCAUGGCCAUAGGGCCACAGUGCCGUAUCUCUGCUGCAGACAUGAUUGUUUCUUGUUCUAGAGGUUUUCUUGUUUUCAAAUCUUGCCUGAUGAAUCCAGCCAGACCAAGGGGCCUAGAUUUGACCCCUGUCCUGGGCUCCUGGGCCAGGUGCAGGGACAUCUGAGGCCACUCUGCUGGCCGCCUCCAGUGGGAGCUGACCUCAGGGUGGGCUUUGUUUACACUCAUUUUCACCCUGAUUCUUGCCCCCACUUUCAUAAAAGAAAUUUCAAAAUGCUGACGCUUUGGAGAGUAAGAAAAUCAAUCUUGGCUGGGCGCGGAGGCUCCUGCCUGUGAUCCCAGCACUUUGGGAGGCUGAGGCUGGAGGAUUAGUUGAGCUCAGGAGUUGGAGACCAACCCUAGCAACAUAACAAGAUCCUGUCUCUACAAAACAAAAUUUAAAUUAGCCGGGUGGGUGUGGCAGUGAGUGCCUGUGGUCCCAGCUACUUGGGGCUGAGGCUGGAGGAUUACUUGAGCCUAGAAGUUGCAGUGAGCUAUGAUCAUGCCACACUGUACUCCAGCCUGGACUGACAGAGUAAAACCCUGCCUCUAAAUAAAAGAAAACAGAGGCCGAAUGCGGUGACUCACACCUGUAAUCUGAGCCCUUUGGGAGGCCAAAGUGGGUGGAUCACCUGAGGUCGGUCCGGAGUUCACAACCAGCCUGACCAACAUGGUGAAACCCUGUCUCUUCUAAAAAUACAAAACAUUAGCCGGGUGUGGUGGUGCACGCCUGUAAUCCCAGCUACUGGGGAGGCUGAGUCAGGAGAAUCACUUGAACCUGGGAGGCGGAGGUUGCAGUGAGCCGAGAUUGCACCACUGCACUCCAGCCUGGGUGACAGAGCGAAACCCUAUCUCAAAAAAAAAAAAAAAAAAAAAGAAAAAAAUAGAAAAUCCAAAAAGAAAAACCAAAAGUCCUGCUGGAAUCCCUGGCGGGUUUCUGAGAAAUCGCCCUGUGCUGUCAGCCCCUGCCCUGCACUGCUGCCUUCCGUGGUGGGUGGGAGACCCCAGAGCAGGGCAGGCGCUACUGAGGGCCUUUCUUGGAGUUGGCCGGCAGGCCACACAGCAUCCGGCACCCUGGGUGGGCUGGCUGGCCACCUUCUUAGGACGUCUCUACUUUGGAGGAUUUUACUGCAGGAAGCAGCGGCAGUGCUGGCCAUUGGCGCUGAUGACAACAUUGGGUUUGGUUGAGGGGAAGGGGCUGGAAAGCAGCAGGCCCCCCAGUGCUGCACAUGGUCCCGGAGCCGUCGGCCAGGGGAGUGGGGUCAGUGGUCAGCCAGCCCUCCCAUUUCCUGCCUAUGGGCCCUGACCACACUCCCUUUUCUAGAAGUCAAUCCUAAGGUUUCUCUGCUCUGGCUAAGAGGGAUGUAAAUUUGGAUUCUUGGAGGGCAUCACACCCCCAGUCCCUGCCCAGAUAAAGUGGCACAAUGGCAUGCGGCACCUCUUUCUGUUGCUGGGGUGGGGGGCUCACACACCCACCUCAUCUCUGUGCAGAGCCCUGACUGGCCCCGCCGGCAGCUGGAGUACAGGUAAGGGCCUCUCUCAGAGGGGAGCUGUAGCCGGGAACUGGCAAGGCCCCUUCCUGCAAGGCCCUAGCUGGCCUCUGGGUGAACCUGAGGUGGCAGGUUCAAGUUUUCAAGAUGGUGAGGUCUUGUCUGCUGGACAGGACAUUAUGCUCUCAGAACUCAUGGGAGUGGAGCUGGGCCUGUCCUGGGCCAGUGGACCCCUGUGUGGGGGGAAUUUGGGGUGCUGCGGGCCUGAUUCUGCACUGGCAGAUGGACUUUGCUUUAAUCCAGCUCUUUCCUUACCCUGGCUCUGACGUGGGAAGGCUUGGAGGGCCCCUCUCAUCACCCAUGCUGGCCCUCAGCUGUCCCUUUCCUUUGUCGCCUGGCUCCUGCCUGAGGCCUCCUAGCAGGCACCCUGGGUGUGAGUUGAGCCUCUCUCUUUUCCCUCUGAUGGGAAAGUGGCCUUUCCCUCGACACCUGCUCCCUGGCCCCAGAGGAACCCACCCGUUUUGGAGCUCAGCUUGGCCCAGCAUUUCCUUGGGGAAGGGAAAGGAGAGCUGGACAGCAUGAUCCAGGCAGGCAGCGUGUGCAGUGGUGGCCGGCCAGGGUGCCACAGAUGUACGGAGAUGUGGCGUGUGGCUCCGGGCCCUCAACAUCUCUGCUUUGGAGGAUUUUACCUUGUCUGCACACCUGUCAGGGGAGAGGGGACAGCAAGGUGGGAGGUUGAAGAGCUUUGAGGCUCAGCAGCAUGUUUGUGGCAUUCGGUGGACUCCGUGGCCUUGGGCAGCUGGACAGGUUUUUGUGAUGUGAGGGACAUACAUGGGGCACAUGGGAAGCUUGACCAGGGCUCCAGGAACGCUGACAAAGCGUUUUAGGACCCCCACCCCCAUGCCUGUACCAGGGCUGGCCUCCAGAGUGGGUGAGGACAGAGCAGCUGUGGGCUUUUCAUUCUGAGGUCUUGGCCCGCCCUGGCUACCGCAUGGGACUCUUUGCUUGUCAGGGCUUGCAAAAAAUCAACCUUCGAGAAAGAAAAGGGAACUCUUCACGUUGAAUGUUGACUCUGUGUGUGUGUGUGUGUGUGUGUGUGUGUGUGUGUGUGUGAGAGAGAGAGAGAGAGAGAGUGCGCAUGCGCGUGUGCACUUGCACAAGCUUGCGUGUCCGUGUUUACUUCAUGGAAUUUUGUUUUUGUGAAAUCCCCCUCCAAUCAUGUGUCAGAAUUUACCUCCAUGCCCCAGUCACACUGUUGGUUCUGCUCUCUGAACCCGGGUGUAGCUCAUUUGAAGGACUCUCUUCUGUGUUUCCUAACAGUUAUUUGGUGGUCUCAAGAGUUGAGGUUGUGGAGGGUUGGGAGAAACUGAAAUUCUGUACAUUUCCAUAGAGUUUACAUCCUGCAGUUAAAAGGCAGGAAGGGCUUAGCCCGGGCCCCACAGCUCCACGCCGCCCCCCACGGGCCGCCCACAGUGCCCCCGUUUCUCCAGCUGAAUCUUUUUCGAACAGCCCAGGAAAGGAAAGCGGGUUCGCUUGCUGAUUUUGUUCACAGCGGAAGCACCAUGUUCUGUUCCUUUUUUAGGUUCAGUUUGUUGUGUAAACGGCGGUUUUUUCUGGUGUGAGCUUUGGUGAUUGUGGCAGGGCUCCUCUGAGGAGACGGUUCCACCUCGUGGUUUGAAGAACAAACCAGAGAAGAGUCUGGUUUGGCCAGAGGACCCCUCUGGCCCACGUCACCCUGAGUACGCCCCUCUGAUGCUCUGCUGUCAAAAAGCACGUUUCCACCAGCUGUAUUCAACACUACAAUGCAUUUUUAAAACUAUAUUUGCAUCCAAGACAAUAAAGAAACCUUAUUUUUUUUGAAAAGCC